GAUGAACGCUGGCGGCGUGCCUAAUACAUGCAAGUCGAGCGAACAGACGAGGAGCUUGCUCCUCUGACGUUAGCGGCGGACGGGUGAGUAACACGUGGAUAACCUACCUAUAAGACUGGGAUAACUUCGGGAAAACGGAGCUAAUACCGGAUAAUAUAUUGAACCGCAUGGUUCAAUAGUGAAAGACGGUUUUGCUGUCACUUAUAGAUGGAUCCGCGCCGCAUUAGCUAGUUGGUAAGGUAACGGCUUACCAAGGCAACGAUGCGUAGCCGACCUGAGAGGGUGAUCGGCCACACUGGAACUGAGACACGGUCCAGACUCCUACGGGAGGCAGCAGUAGGGAAUCUUCCGCAAAGGGCGAAAGCCUGACGGAGCAACGCCGCGUGAGUGAUGAAGGUCUUCGGAUCGUAAAACUCUGUUAUUAGGGAAGAACAAAUGUGUAAGUAACUAUGCACGUCUUGACGGUACCUAAUCAGAAAGCCACGGCUAACUACGUG
rnacentral:rRNA from 1 species